rnacentral:rRNA from 1 species
UACGUAGGGUGCAAGCGUUGUCCGGAAUUAUUGGGCGUAAAGAGCUCGUAGGCGGUCUGUCGCGUCUGCUGUGAAAACUCAGGGCUUAACCCUGAGCUUGCAGUGGGUACGGGCAGACUAGAGUGCGGUAGGGGAGACUGGAAUUCCUGGUGUAGCGGUGAAAUGCGCAGAUAUCAGGAGGAACACCGAUGGCGAAGGCAGAUCUCUGGGCCGUAACUGACGCU